rnacentral:rRNA from 3 species
CCGGAAGGUGCGGCUGGAUCACCUCCUUUCUA